GUACACACCGCCCGUCGCUACUACCGAUUGAAUGAUUUAGUGAGGUCUUCGGACUGGUGCGCGGCAAUGUCUCGGCAUUGCCGAUGUUGCCGGGAAGAUGACCAAACUUGAUCAUUUAGAGGAAGUAAAAGUCGUAACAAGGUUUCCGUAGGUGAACCUGCGGAAGGAUCAUUA
rnacentral:rRNA from 8 species